AUUGAACGCUGGCGGCAUGCUUUACACAUGCAAGUCGAACGGUAACAGGUUAAGCUGACGAGUGGCGAACGGGUGAGUAAUGCAUCGGAACGUGCCCGGUCGUGGGGGAUAACGCAGCGAAAGCUGCGCUAAUACCGCAUACGAUCUAAGGAUGAAAGCGGGGGACCGUAAGGCCUCGCGCGAUCGGAGCGGCCGAUGUCAGAUUAGGUAGUUGGGGGGGUAAAGGCUCACCAAGCCAACGAUCUGUAGCUGGUCUGAGAGGACGACCAGCCACACUGGGACUGAGACACGGCCCAGACUCCUACGGGAGGCAGCAGUGGGGAAUUUUGGACAAUGGGCGAAAGCCUGAUCCAGCAAUGCCGCGUGCAGGAAGAAGGCCUUCGGGUUGUAAACUGCUUUUGUACGGAGCGAAAAGGUCUCCUCUAAUACAGGGGGCUCAUGACGGUACCGUAAGAAUAAGCGCCGGCUAACUACGUGCCAGCCGCCGCGGUAA
rnacentral:rRNA from 1 species